AUUGAACGCUGGCGGCAGGCUUAACACAUGCAAGUCGAGCGGGGUGAUGGUGCUUGCACUAUCACUUAGCGGCGGACGGGUGAGUAAUGCUUAGGAAUCUGCCUAUUAGUGGGGGACAACAUCUCGAAAGGGAUGCUAAUACCGCAUACGUCCUACGGGAGAAAGCAGGGGAUCACUUGUGACCUUGCGCUAAUAGAUGAGCCUAAGUCGGAUUAGCUAGUUGGUGGGGUAAAGGCCUACCAAGGCGACGAUCUGUAGCGGGGCUGAGAGGAUGAUCCGCCACACGGGGACUGAAGCACGGCCCAGACUCCUACGGGGGGCAGCAGUGGGGAAUAUUGGACAAUGGGGUGAACCCUGAUCCAGCCAUGCCGCGUGUGUGAAGAAGGCCUUAUGGUUGUAAAGCACUUUAAGCGAGGAGGAGGCUCUUUUGGUUAAUACCCAAGAUGAGUGGACGUUACUCGCAGAAUAAGCACCGGCUAACUCUGUGCCAGCCGCCGCAGUAA
rnacentral:rRNA from 1 species